AAUGGGGGCAACCCUGAUCCAGCCAUGCCGCGUGCGGGAAGAAGGCCUUCGGGUUGUAAACCGCUUUCAGACGGAAAGAAACAGUACAAGCUAAUACCUUGUACGAAUGACGGUACCGUCAGAAGAAGCACCGGCUAACUACGUGCCAGCAGCCGCGGUAAUACGUAGGGUGCGAGCGUUAAUCGGAAUUACUGGGCGUAAAGAGUGCGCAGGCGGCUCUCUAAGACAGGUGUGAAAUCCCCGGGCUUAACCUGGGAAUGGCGCUUGUGACUGGAGAGCUAGAGUGUGGCAGAGGGGAAUGGAAUUCCUGGUGUAGCAGUGAAAUGCGUAGAUAUCAGGAGGAACACCGAUGGCGAAGGCAGUUCCCUGGGCCAACACUGACGCUCAUGCACGAAAGCGUGGGGAGCAAACAGGAUU
rnacentral:rRNA from 1 species